CAGUCGCCGCGGUAAAACGUAGGGUGCGAGCGUUAAUCGGAAUUACUGGGCGUAAAGCGUGCGCAGGCGGUUUUGUAAGACAGGCGUGAAAUCCCCGGGCUCAACCUGGGGAUGGCGCUUGUGACUGCAAAGCUAGAGUGCGGCAGAGGGGGAUGGAAUUCCGCGUGUAGCAGUGAAAUGCGUAGAUAUGCGGAGGAACACCGAUGGCGAAGGCAAUCCCCUGGGCCUGCACUGACGCUCAUGCACGAAAGCGUGGGGAGCAAACAGGAUUAGAUACCCCCGUAGUCCCUGUCUCUUAUAC
rnacentral:rRNA from 1 species